rnacentral:rRNA from 1 species
AUUGAACGCUGGCGGCAUGCCUUACACAUGCAGGUCGAACGGUAACAGGUUAAGCUGCCGAGUGGCGAACGGGUGAGUAAUGUAUCGGAACGUGCCCAGUCGUGGGGGAUAACUGCUCGAAAGAGCAGCUAAUACCGCAUACGACCUGAGGGUGAAAGCGGGGGAUCGCAAGACCUCGCGCGAUUGGAGCGGCCGAUAUCAGAUUAGGUAGUUGGUGAGGUAAAGGCUCACCAAGCCGACGAUCUGUAGCUGGUCUGAGAGGACGACCAGCCACACUGGGACUGAGACACGGCCCAGACUCCUACGGGAGGCAGCAGUGGGGAAUUUUGGACAAUGGGCGCAAGCCUGAUCCAGCCAUGCCGCGUGCGGGAAGAAGGCCUUCGGGUUGUAAACCGCUUUUGUCAGGGAAGAAAAGGUUCUGGCUAAUACCUGGGACUCAUGACGGUACCUGAAGAAUAAGCACCGGCUAACUACGUG